CGUGGGUUAUCUACCUUGAGGUGAGGAAUACCGGCGAGAAAUCGCCGACAAUACCGCAUGACCUUGGCAACAAGGAAAGUCCCGGUAACGGGACGCCACAAGAUGAGCCUGCGGCCGAUUAUGCUAGCUGGUGGGGUAAAGGCCUACCAGGGCUGCGAUCGGUAGCUGGUCUGAGAGGACGAUCAGCCACACUGGGAUUGAGAACGGCCCAGACUCCUACGGGGGGCAGCAGUGAGGAAUUUUCGUCAAUGGGGGCAACCCUGAACGAGCAACGCCGCGUGCAGGAAGAAGGUUUUCGGAUCGUAAACUGCUUUUCUUGGGGAAGAGAACGGACGGUACCCAAGCAAUCAAGCCCCGGCUAACUACGUGCCAGCAGCCGCGGUAAUACGUAGGGGGCAAGCGUUGUCCGGAUUUAUUGGGCGUAAAGCGCCCGCAGGCGGUCUUUUACGUUUGGAGUGACAGGUGGCAGCUUAACUGCCACAGGCCUACAAAUACGGGAAGACUUGAGGGCUUCAGAGGGACGCGGAAUUCCAGGUGGAGCGGUGAAAUGCGUAGAGAUCUGGAAGAACACCAAUGGC
rnacentral:rRNA from 1 species